CGCACAGGCCGGACGCAGCCGGAGGGGAGGCGGCCGGGGAAGGCGGCCGUGUCAUGGAAUGUAGAACAUUGGCUCGGCCGUCUAAGUCCAUGUUAUUCAGCCUACGAGACUCCCACACGUCAGGCCGGCAUACUGCGAAUGCCCUAAUGCUUUUCGGGCAUUUCUUUUAAAGUACCAUUUUGAACAGCAGAAAACAGUUGUAAUGGUCGAGCCAUUACAGAAGUGAAGUGAACCUCAGACCUGUACCAGGGCUACACGUUUACCUCUAUCGUUGAAACAGCAGACACUGUCGCCCGAUCCCGAUGAAAUUGUGCAGGUGGGGAUCAACGGCGGGAAAUCUACCUGGAAGCGUUCUGUUUCCGUGCCACUCUCUCUCCCUCUGUGGGGAGGGGAUCAGGGCCAAACAGAGAGGUCUGAGCAGAGAUAGAUGGCACACGGCAACCCAUCCCUGACAACAAGAUUAAUCUUCACUCUUCAGACCUGAUGAAAAUGUCUUGCCGGCACCACCUCUACCUCCACUUUUCAUCAGUCGCACCCACUCCCCCUCUGUGGAGGGUAGUUUCAAAAUUAAAAUUAAGAGAUUGUGAAUAUUUUUUUCCCCUUUUACUGUACUUUGCUAACAAACUUUAAAGGGGCACAUCCCAACUUUAAUCAAUUUACUCCUCAUAAGAGAUAUUACACAGCCUAUGAAAGCAGUUGAAUGUGAAUGUGUUCUGGACAGUGGUGCACAGAGAGAUUUUUAAAGUAUGAAGAUAACCCUGAGGACAUCAAAGUUUUCUCAUAUUGGACAUCACAUCGACUGGAGUUCACAUUUUUAACUGAGCCUAUUUUACAAAAGUUUGAAAUAAGUGGGCACUUUGAACAU